GAUUGAACAAAGAGCCUUUUCAGGUAAAUUCUUCUACAACCAAGGAUUUUCGUAAUGAUUAUGGGACUACCGAGAAAAUCGUAGGUACUAGGAAGCUUAUUGGUGAAGAUAAAGCUCAUGAGCCGCCAAUGCCGGUUGAAGAUGAUUAUGUUACAUCUAUUAGCCAAAUUCUCUAACUUGGAUUGCUAAUACAACUGUUGGAGAAGCCACUUUUAGACAUGCAUUUCUCUUCGCUUUGCCACAAAAUUUGUAUCAUACAAUUUGAACCAUUUUGAAUUAUGUAUCUCUUUAUGAAAUAUAACUCCAAUUCUGCACUUGUUUAGAAUAUGAUAAUGUAUGAAAGACUUUUUGUAAUAUGCGAUGUUAUAAAUUAGUUUAUUCUAUUGUAAUAUCUCUUGGGAAUUAAUUAAAAUAAACAUAUGAAUA